UACAGAGGGUGCAAGCGUUGUUCGGAAUUACUGGGUGUAAAGGGCGCGUAGGCGGCUAUUUAAGUCAGAUGUGAAAACCCGAAGCUUAACUUCGGACGUGCAUUUGAAACUAUUUAGCUAGAGUGCAGUAGAGGAUGGUGGAAUUCCCAGUGUAGAGGUGAGAUUCGUAGAGAUUGGGAGGAACACCGGUGGCGAAGGCGGCCAUCUGGGCUGCAACUGACGCUGAGGCGCGAAAGCGUGGGGAUCAAACAGG
rnacentral:rRNA from 1 species